UACGUAGGGUGCGAGCGUUAAUCGGAAUUACUGGGCGUAAAGCGUGCGCAGGCGGUUUUGUAAGCCAGAUGUGAAAUCCCCGGGCUCAACCUGGGAAUGGCAUUUGGGGACUGCAAGGCUGGAGUACGGCAGAGGAGACUGGAAUUCCUGGUGUAGCAGUGAAAUGCGUAGAUAUCAGGAGGAAUACCGAUGGCGAAGGCAGGUCUCUGGGCUGAUACUGACGCUCAUGCACGAAAGCGUAGGGAGC
rnacentral:rRNA from 1 species